UCAAGCUCCUGUCAAGGAUAAAGAGGAAUCAAAAUGUGAAAUUUAUCUACAAAACUUAAGGUAAAAUUUUCAUAAACUAGAUCAAAAUUAAAUCUGCUAUAUUUUCCAGAAAAAGAAAAAAUGAAACUAACUCUUCAAAUUCAAAAUCUAGAAGAGAAGAUCUUAGAGUCACUCUCUGGGGUAACAUUGCCAAACAGUUUGACAUACAGAGCAUUAAAAAACUGUCUCCACCAGUGCUCAUAGUGUUGACCAGUUUAAAGAUUAAGGAGCUCAUGGGGCUGAUGUUGCUGUUAAUGAGAAGCUCGAUUGCUGGUAUCUCUGUCUUAACACAGUAGAAGGCACCGCAUUCUGAGACCUUGAUGAUCAAUUGGACCGGUUUCAAGUAUCGUUCGAAAGCCUUCUUUACUAUUCAUUUUGGGAAACUUUUAAACUUUUGAUUUUGUGAAAUUGAGCUCAUUUGAUCAAAUCUGAGGAUCCAAUUGAGCAAUCAGAGAUAUAUGAAAGACUCCAGGUAAGCUUCUUAUUUGAUCAAAUGGUUUGACAUUUUGGGUGCAAUUGAUUGGGUUUUUCAAUUUCGAUGCAUGUUGGUUUUUUUACUUUAUAGCUUCCAGAGUUCUUCCUCAAUUACAGUCUGCCAUUCUUCUAUAACCGUCUUAUUCAAUGGCUGCCAGUUCUAGGUGAUAGCUGAGAGAGUGAUUUAGAAUAGAAAAGAGAGCAGCAGGCGAAGGAACAGUGAUUGUGGGUGAUGUCACAUCGAUCUCCCAGUUUUGGUAGUUGAUCGAUAGACAGAGAGAGAGGGUUCGAUCGAUAGACUAAAGGAGAGAGGGGUAGAGUACCAGUUUGAUCAUAGAGAUGGAAAAAGGCUUUAUCACCUGCUCGGGACAUCAACUUGAAGCUUGAACAGGUGAAGGAAAGUACUACCUUUUAGGUAAUUUGAGGGAUGCAUUUAUCUCUCUCUGGGAUUGAUUGCAUGUAAUUUUGUAUCAUUUGUUUUGAGUUUUGGGAGUGCUUUUCAUGUUUGUGGUUUCUGGGUCUAUUUACAUGGUGAGCUCCUUACAGUAUAUGCUGGUAAGGAAUAUGAAGGCAGGGUAAAUCGAAUUCAAAAUUGAAUGCCUUUCUUUGAACUUGAGUAUUCAGCAUAGGAAAAUCAUAUUACUCUGGCAAAACUUGCAAGCUCUGCCUACUUUUUGUAUCUUCUAUUAAUGAUUAUGUCUGGGAUUUUGGUUUACUUUUUAAUAUCA